GCGCGAUUAGCUCAGGGGGAGAGCGCUUCCCUGACACGGAAGAGGUCACUGGUUCAAUUCCAGUAUCGCGCA
rfam:Corynebacterium atypicum strain R2070, complete genome.